GUUUAACCAGUGCCACGCUGACCCUUGGGUCUCAGUGCCGUCCAAGAGACUGCUGGUACACAGGUAGCAGAGAGCCCAACUGCAGGUGAAAAAUUUUAUUUCUAACUGUAUUUACACAAAUGUCUUCUUUGGUCUCACACCCUGGUCUUGGCCUCUUUGCCUCAAAGCCUAUGCUGUUCAUCAUCUGCCCACUGCUCACUCUGCCACUGGAGCCCUGCUAAGCCCAGCUUUCAGAAAUAAAUCUCAUGAGCCCCGUCAAGUGUGAGACAUGAGACAUGGAUCCAACCCAAGAUAAAUCUCUCUUCAGACAGGCUGUCAGGACUUCAGAAUGCAGCACCCCCAUAU